GGCCUCCUGGUGCUUGCCACAGACUGUGUUCUUACACUGACUGCACAGAAAGAGGGAAAGUAAACCUAUUCCACAAACACUUCAGCACAGGCCCUGUGCCUGGUCCGGAUUGUGAAUGGAGAGGCAUGG
rnacentral:snoRNA from 1 species